rnacentral:rRNA from 1 species
UACGUAGGGUGCGAGCGUUAAUCGGAAUUACUGGGCGUAAAGCGUGCGCAGGCGGUUUUGUAAGCCAGAUGUGAAAUCCCCGGGCUUAACCUGGGAACUGCAUUUGGGACUGCAAGGCUUGAGUACGGCAGAGGGGGGUAGAAUUCCUGGUGUAGCAGUGAAAUGCGUAGAUAUCAGGAGGAAUACCAGAGGCGAAGGCGGAUUGCUGGGCUGAUACUGACGCUGAGGCGCGAAAGCUAGGGUAGCAAACGGG